GUAGGGAAUCUUCCACAAUGGAGGAAACUCUGAUGCAGCGACGCCGCGUGAACGAUGAAGGCCUUCGGGUCGUAAAGUUCUGUCCUAGGGGACGAUAAUGACGGUACCCUAGGAGGAAGCCCCGGCUAACUACGUGCCAGCAGCCGCGGUAAUACGUAGGGGGCAAGCGUUGUCCGGAUUUAUUGGGCGUAAAGGGUGCGUAGGCGGCCUUUUAAGUCAGAUGUGAAAGAUCACGGCUCAACCGUGGUAAGCAUUUGAAACUGGAAGGCUUGAGUUAAGGAGAGGAAAGUGGAAUUCCUAGUGUAGCGGUGAAAUGCGUAGAUAUUAGGAGGAAUACCAGUGGCGAAGGCGACUUUCUGGACUUAUACUGACGCUGAGGCACGAAAGCGUGGGGAGCGAACAGG
rnacentral:rRNA from 1 species